rnacentral:misc_RNA from 1 species
AUUGCGGAAAAAGUAAGGGUUGACAUACGUGAAUAUAGAGGAAUCCAAAAAUGUUUAUCCUCCAUUAUUUUUCAUACGUGAAAGACGUCUUGACGAACAGAAGGUAUAGAAAAGUGAGGAGAAAAAUGCACCAAAGCUGGUUAUUUACAGCGUUAAGUAGCCCCGGAAAUGUCAGGGAGAAAGACAUCAGAGGCUGAGCUGUCUGUCUGCAUGAGAGGUCUGUGCCGGCGCUGUUG